AUUGAACGCUGGCGGCAGGCCUAACACAUGCAAGUCGAGCGGAUGAAGGGAGCUUGCUCCUGGAUUCAGCGGCGGACGGGUGAGUAAUUCCUAUGAAUCUGCCUGGUAUUGUGGGAUAACGUCCUUAAACGGGCUCUAAUACCGCAUACGUCCUUAUUUAUAAAGUGUUUGAUCUUCUUACCUCUCUCUAUCUUAUGUUCCUAGUUCGUAUUAGCUAGUUGGUUGGGUAAAGGCCUACCAAGGCGACGAUCCGUAACUUGUCUGAGAGGAUGAUCAGUCACACUGGAACUGAGACACGGUACAGACUCCUACGGGAGGCAGCAGUGGGGAAUAUUGGACAAUGGGCGAAAGCCUGAUCCAGCAAUGCCGCGUGUGUGGAGAAGGUCUUAGGAUUGUAAAGAACUUUAAGUUGGGAGGAAGGGAAGUAAGUUAAUACCUUGCUGUUUUGACGUUACCAACAGAAUAAGCACCGGCUAACUUCGUG
rnacentral:rRNA from 1 species